AAAAUGCCUUACGUUUUUGGGAAAAUGUCUUAUGGAUUUCAUUUCUGUAAGACAUUUUUCGUUUCCUCCUUCAUCCAGGUAAAAGUCUUCUUUUUCCCUUCUUCAUUCAUUUUCCUUCUUCCGUUCUUCAUCUUCUAUUCUCAGGCUGCUGUUUCAUUUCUUCUCUUUCUCUCUUUCUCGGGCAAAUCUCGCUCUUCUUCGCUGGGUCUUGGCUAAGGUCAGAGAUUAAACGGGUGACUAACUCUUUUUUUUGGUUGAUCUUUCUUGGAUCCAAUUUCCUUUGAGGUGAAAAAGGCUUAUCCUUUGCAAGUUUAGGCAGCUGGUUUUACUGUUGCUAUACUGAAGAAACUCAACUCAAAGAAUGGAUCCGAAAAUGGAGAGACCAAUUCCACAUUACAAAAAGCGGAACCUCAAAUGGUUGAAGUUGUAGUGCUAGCUUCCCUGGAAAAGUUCUUUAAAUCCAUUCUAAAUAUGCCGGAAGUGGAAAGAAAGUUUAGAGCGGUGCUUGAUGCAGUUUUGGAGGCCCAUCCGCACUGUCUACAGCUAUAUCUUUAUAGCACAGUUGAUAAAUUCGUUCCGUAUAGCACUGUCCCCCUUCCUCUACUGUCAAAACCCCAACAGAUGUGAUUUGUAGCUCUUCCCUUUAGCAUUGAUGACCAGAUCAAGGCUCAACAUUGCACAUUCUACAUGGUGGCCAUAGGCUGUUUCAGUUACUAGCCAAUGGUUGGUUUUAGUUUUAAAGUUAUUUAGAGCUAGCAAUGCUUGCAUUGAGUUACUGAUGACAAACAUUUGAAAUAACAUGCAUUAAGACGCACGGACAUUGAGAAAAAUGGUAUUGUAAAUAUUUCAUUAAAGAGAUUUGAAAGAAGAAUGGAUAGUUCUGUACUUAUGUCAAACUUAUUUAUACAUGCUUUUUUUCUCUUCA